UUGCAGCUUGUCCUGGAAUAAUCCCCCUGACGUAACGUCUAGAAACGAGAACAAUGUGCCCCGCCAACAUCAAAGGAGGUAAAGGAUGGUUUGGUAUCUCUGUGUGCCUGUGCCUUCCAAUGUAUAAAACAGCCCGGCUUUCAGCCCCAAGACACAGGCGGGGAGCUGCCGAGGAAAUUUAAUUUCACGACUACCACAUUGCUACCUGGCAGACACAAGUCCUUGCUCAGCUUUUGUCUUCUCCUCUUAAAGAAGUUGCUCACAAGUUAAAUCUCUAAACCAACGUACAAACACAAGACACUUCACCUCCCAGCCAUGGAGCAUGACAUCAGUCCUUUGACGGGUUUCUCCUCUGGCUUCUUUAAGUUGGAUGUCAACCCGUUAUUUGGAUAUCGGGAAAUAAUGCACCUCGCCCAUUGAAAGAAGAGGACAUGAGACCUUCAUCCUCUCACAAUCAUCGGCCAUGCUCACCCUGAACAUCCAGGAUAGCUGCAGAUUUUCUGCAAUCAUUCAAAGGGUGCAUGUGGUCAUGUGCCACGUUAUAUAUGAAUAAAUAAAUAACAGAAGCCGAGGCUAUGCCACUCGUGCCAAUGUAUAAAUCUAUUAAACAGAAGUAAUACAGAUUACCAUUCUUGUUUUAUUUUGGUAUUUGCUACAUAAAGGAACAUUAAUAUGAAGAUAUUAACUCCUUUUUA